rnacentral:rRNA from 1 species
GACGAACGCUGGCGGCGUGCCUAAUACAUGCAAGUUGAGCGCUGAAGGUUGGUACUUGUACCAACUGGAUGAGCAGCGAACGGGUGAGUAACGCGUGGGGAAUCUGCCUUUGAGCGGGGGACAACAUUUGGAAACGAAUGCUAAUACCGCAUAAAAACUUUAAACACAAGUUUUAAGUUUGAAAGAUGCAAUUGCAUCACUCAAAGAUGAUCCCGCGUUGUAUUAGCUAGUUGGUGAGGUAAAGGCUCACCAAGGCGAUGAUACAUAGCCGACCUGAGAGGGUGAUCGGCCACAUUGGGACUGAGACACGGCCCAAACUCCUACGGGAGGCAGCAGUAGGGAAUCUUCGGCAAUGGACGAAAGUCUGACCGAGCAACGCCGCGUGAGUGAAGAAGGUUUUCGGAUCGUAAAACUCUGUUGGUAGAGAAGAACGUUGGUGAGAGUGGAAAGCUCAUCAAGUGACGGUAACUACCCAGGAAGGGACGGCUAACUACGUG